rnacentral:lncRNA from 1 species
GAGAGGGUCACAUCAUUAGAGAGAGUUUGUGAUAUAUUGAUAUUUGAGGGCAUGUUUAUUCAUUUUUGAUCCCGUCUUUGGGUCUUUCUUGGUUUGCGUUCAGAGCAUGUAUAUUUGUAUAUAUGUAAAAAAAAAAAAAAAAAAAAAAAUUGAAAAAAAAAUGAUUGAAAAAAAAAAAAAAAAGAGAAAAAGAAAAGAGGCACAUGUGUGUAUUGUUCUCUAUCAUUGAGUAUGUGUAUAUUAGUGUUCGAGGGGUCGCUUUGUUGGAUAUGUCUAUUCAUGGGAGUUCGUAUGUGAGCUCCUCGGGACCUUUCAUUCUUCGUAUUCAUUUUGUUGUAUGUUUUGAGAGCGAGAUGAGUGGCCUUCUCUUAGGAGCUCUGGGUCAUUGUCCAUUCCAUCAUUUUGUUCGUUAUUGACGUGACUUCCUUUCAUAUUUGAUUUGAGCAGAUCAUCACUUGUUCUCAUAUUCUAUGCUUCAUCAUCAUCCUCGUUUUCACUUCUGAUUCAUCAUUUUUAUUUCACCUCUUAUUCCGUUCUUACAGUGACCUCAUUUUCUGGUUUGGUACCCUCUUCGUACCAUCAUUAUACAUCUCGUCAUCAGUUCGGUUUUUCUUCAUUGCAUCAUCA